UUUUAUUCCAAUGAAACUUUAAUGGAAGGCUAACGUAUAAAGAACUGCUGUGGUUGAAGAAAAGGAUGGGUGAGGAAGAGGCAAAGCUACAGUGAAAAGACUUCUGUCUAUGAGCCAAAAAGCUGACCUACACCAGACACUGACUCUGCUGGCGCCAAGACCUUGAACUUCCCAGUCUCCAAAACAGCCAUCUUUACAUCUUCUUGCGUGAAGGUUCAUGCCUGACUGCUGGUUUCAAGUCCUUCUUAUCAUCCAGGAAGGAAAAGACCUGAUUAGAGCACAUCAUGAGAAAUGCUGAACUGGAUGAAGCACAAGCUGGAAUCAAAAUUGCCAGGAGAAAUAUCGAUAACCUCAGAUAUGCAGAUAACACCACCCUUAUGGCAGAAAGCAAAGAAGAACUAAAGAGCCUCUUGAUGAAAGUGAAAGAGGAGCAUGAAAAAGUUGGCUUAAAGCUCAACAUUCAGAAAACUAGGAUCAUGGCAUCUGGUCCCAUCACUUCUUGGCAAAUAGAUGGGGAGACAGUGGAAACAGCAUCAGACUUUAUUUCUUUGGGGCUCCAAAAUCACUGCAGAUGGUGACUGCAGCCAUGAAAUUAAAAGAUGCUUGCUCCUUGGAAGAAAAGUUAUGACCAACCUAGACAGCAUAUUAAAAAUCAGAGACAUUACAUUGCCAUCAAAGGUCCAUCUAGUCAAAGCUAUGGUUCUUCCAAUAGUCAUGUAUGGAUGUGAGAGUUGGACUAUAAAGAAAGCUGAGCACUGAAGAAUUGAUGCUUUUGAACUGUGGUGUUGGAGAAGACUCUUGAGAGUCCCUUGGACAGCAAGGAGAUCCAAUCCUAAAGGAAAUCAGUCCUGAAUGUCCAUUGGAAGGACUGAUACUGAAGCCAAAACUCCAAUACUUUGGCACCUGAUGUGAAGAACUGACUCAUUUGAAAAGACCCUGAUGCUGGGAAUGAUUGAGGGCAGGAGGAGAAGGGGACAACAGAGGAUGAGAUGGUUGGAUGGCAUCACUGACUCAAUGGAUGUGAGUUUGAGUAGGCUCUGGGAGUUGGUGAUGGACAGGGAAGCCUAGCGUGCUUAAGUCCAUGGGGUCUCAAAGAGUUGGACAUGGCUGAGCAACUGAACUGAACUGACAGUUUUUUGCAUGUCUGUAUUACUUACUGAGAAUUCAUUGUAGAUAAGGAUUUGUCUUUUCAAGUUUUAUAUUCUUAGGCAUAGCCUAAUGCUUUCCAUAAAAGUUUGUUGAAUAAAUGAAGGAAUGAAUGAAUAUAUAGGAUUUAAUUUCUGGCCCCAAAACCAAAGUUAUAAAACGAUCUUGAUUUGUGUAUAUGAAGUACUUUUUUGAAUGGCUUUCUGGGUAGUCAUGGGAUUGAAAGGUAAGUUCAGAGGAUUUUAUGAAUCCUAUGAAGGAUGUCUGUAGUUAAUCACGGCAUGAAUCAAGUUUUGCUUUUUUUUAAAUUAAUGCAUCCAAUUAAGAGAUGUUAAUUAGAUUAACCUACUAGCAAG